rnacentral:lncRNA from 1 species
AAGCAACCCUAGCGCGCGUACUACGUUUGUACUACGCUACUCGACGCUGCUGCAGUCACGAAAGUUUUAGUUCGUUUCAAUCCCACGAGGUGGCAGCUUUAGUCAGCGUGAAGUUCGAUCCGUUUCGAGUCCUCGGACUCGUCGCCUGAGUGCAGCAGUGUCCGGAGUCCGAUUUGACAUUUAACGUUCUAGAUAGUCUCCGUGAGGAUUGGCUGUACCAUCAAUUCGAUCAGAGCUGAUUUUGGUGGCAAAUGGAUGAACAAUGCUGUCCUGUGGUAAAGUGCUCGUCUCAAUAACUGUACUUGUCGUUUGCCUUCAGUUCCUAUGUGCAAACGCCAUUUGCUGUUAUGGACAAAGAGAGGGCCUCUCUGUAUAUUGCCGAGAUGGAAAAAUAGCCCGAGAUGGCGAGUGCUGCGGCCGAGGCCCCUGCACAUCUGAUUGCUGUUUCUGUGAGCGGGGAUGCAGAGGGCCAGCCGGAUCCCGAGAUGAUCUCCGCUUGGCUGAGAGUCGACAACAAGAGCAAUGGACAUUCGUGGACAGCAAUUCCUCCGCAAAGAGAUGGCGUUAAACUAUUUUCUCUAGAUUAAAAAGCGCGCAUGACUAUUUCCUUUGCAAAAGAGAGCGCGUUUAUAUUUUCCUUCGCAAAAAA